UUGCUUCAGUAGCACACAUGCUAAAACUGUAACAAUACAGAGAAGAUUUGCAUGGCCCCAUGCAAGGAUAACACGUGAGUUUGUGAAGUGUUCUGUAUUUUU
ensembl:snRNA U6 U6 spliceosomal RNA